rnacentral:rRNA from 1 species
UACGGAGGGUGCAAGCGUUGUUCGGAAUUACUGGGCGUAAAGGGCGUGUAGGUGGUUGACUAAGUCAGGUGUGAAAGCCCUCAGCUCAACUGAGGAAGCGCAUCUGAAACUGGUUAACUUGAGUACGGGAGAGGAGAGUGGAAUUCCUGGUGUAGAGGUGAAAUUCGUAGAUAUCAGGAGGAACAUCGGUGGCGAAGGCGACUCUCUGGACCGAUCCUGACACUGAGACGCGAAAGCGUGGGGAGCAAAUACG